AGAAUCAACGCUGGCGGCGUGCCUAACACAUGCAAGUCGCACGAGAAAGGGGGGCAAUCCCUGAGUAAAGUGGCGCACGGGUGAGUAACACGUGAAUCAUCUACCUCCGAGUGGGGAAUAACUGAGAGAAAUCUUAGCUAAUACCGCAUAACACUUACGAGUCAAAGCAGCAAUGCGCUUGGAGAGGAGUUCGCGGCAGAUUAGUUAGUUGGCGGGGUAAUGGCCCACCAAGACGAUGAUCUGUAUCCGGCCUGAGAGGGCGCACGGACACACUGGAACUGAAACACGGUCCAGACUCCUACGGGAGGCAGCAGUGGGGAAUUUUGCGCAAUGGGGGAAACCCUGACGCAGCAACGCCGCGUGGAGGAUGAAGCCCCUUGGGGUGUAAACUCCUUUCGAUCGGGAAGAUAAUGACGGUACCGAUAUAAGAAGCCCCGGCUAACUUCGCGCCAGCAGCCGC
rnacentral:rRNA from 1 species